rnacentral:snRNA from 1 species
AGCUUUGCACAGUGGCAGUAUUGUAGCCAAUGAGGUUUAUCCGAGGCAUGAUUAUUGCUAACUGAAAACUUUCCCAAUACCCCGCCAUGACGACUUACAAUAUAGUUGGCAUUGGCAAUUUUUGAUAGUCUCUACAGAGA